rnacentral:tRNA from 2 species
GCAUCGAUGGUCUAGACUGGUCUAGGACUCCAGCCUUCCAAGCUGGGUACCCGGGUUCAAAUCCCGGUCGAUGCACCA